rnacentral:misc_RNA from 1 species
GAAAUGCGAUAAGUAAUGUGAAUUGCAGAAUUCAGUGAAUCAUCGAAUCUUUGAACGCACAUUGCGCCCACCAGAAUUCUGGCGGGCAUGCCUGUUCGAGCGUCAUUUCAACCCUCGAGCUCCCCUUGCGGGGGGAGCCCGGCGUUGGGGACGCGGCGCCAACAGCGCCGGCCCCGAAAUGGAGUGGCGGCCCGUCCGCGGCGACCUCUGCGUAGUAACAUCCACUCGCACCGGGACCCGGGCGCGGCCACGCCGUAAAACACCCCACCUUCCGAAUGUUGACCUCGAAUCAGGUAGGAAUACCCGCUGAACUUAAGC